AAGGAGACGAAGGAAGUCUCUGGGCCGUAAAGACGCUGAGGAGAGAAAGCAUGGGGAGCGAACAGGAUAAGAUACCCUGGUAGUACAUGCCGUAAACGAUGGUCACUAGUUGUGGGGGACAUUCCACGUUCUCCGCGCCGUAGCUAACGCAUUAAGUGCCCCGCCUGGGGAGUACGGCCGCAAGGCUAAAACUCAAAGGAAUUGACGGGGGCCCGCACAAGCGGCGGAGCAUGCGGAUUAAUUAGACGCAACGCGAAGAACCUCCCCAAGGCUUGACAUUCACCGGACCGCCCCAGAGAUGGGGUUUCCCUUCGGGGUCGGUGGACAGGUGGUGCAUGGUUGUCGUCAGCUCGUGUCGUGAGAUGUUGGGUUAAGUCCCGCAACGAGCGCAACCCUCGUUCUAUGUUGCCAGCACGUGAUGGUGGGGACUCAUAGGAGACUGCCGGGGUCAACUCGGAGGAAGGUGGGGAUGACGUCAAAUCAUCAUGCCCCUUAUGUCUUGGGCUUCACGCAUGCUACAAUGGCCGGUACAAAGGGUUGCGAUACUGUGAGGUGGAGCUAAUCCCAAAAAGCCGGUCUCAGUUCGGAUUGAGGUCUGCAACUCGACCUCAUGAAGUCGGAGUCGCUAGUAAUCGCAGAUCAGCAACGCUGCGGUGAAUACGUUCCCGGGCCUUGUACACACCGCCCGUCAAGUCACGAAAGUUGGUAACACCCGAAGCCGGUGGCCUAACCCCUGAGG
rnacentral:rRNA from 1 species